UCAUUCACAGUCCAGGAUGGAAAAAGUAAGUGAACCCUUGUAUUUAAUAACAGGUUGCAUCUCCUUUAACAGCAAUAACUUCCACCAAGCGUUUCCGGUAGCUGCUGAUCAGACUUGCAAAAUGGGCAGGGCACCUCUACAACCAACACCUCCAAUCUCAUCUCGUUUAAUGAAAUACCUGACUUCAAAUAGCUUUUGUAGAAAGCAUUACCUCAGAGGUCACAUACCUUUUUUGAACUAAGACUGCGAUUGUAAAAUGGCAUAUUCAGUAUUGACGUUACAGACUGGAAAAACUUAAAACGAC